UUCCUCUCUUCCAUACCUCCCUAACGGAACCAAGUAUUUCCGUAGUGACGAUGGAAACCGUAAACAUUGAACCCUCAGGCUCCUGGGACCUCAAGAAGUUGUCUUGGCCAUUCUCUCCUUAUCAAGCAGAGUCUCUGAAACAGGGGGACCCCACCACAAUGUAUACUGCGCAGCACAGGAAACACAGCAUCCAUUUCAACACACUGCAUUUCAAUAAGGAUUUCUCAGAGAAAUGAACCAGAAAGAAUGGACAACCUUCUACCACCCUUCCUCCAAGGAACUGCAACAGUGGAUACUUUUCAGAUUCAUACCAGGCAUCUCUGAUAGCGUAGGGGUUGAGCGUACAGCUCAGAACCCUGCAUACCCAGCUCACCCACCCACCAGCCACAUGACCUCAAAUUUCCUGUGCUUCGGUCUACCACCUGUGAAACGCAGAUGAACGUAACCAAAUGAGAGGGAUGUGUAUGUGCAGAGAGAGCUGUCUGAGAACAAGGGAGUACAGG